CCUGUGUCCUGCGUUCUCCUGGUCUUCAUCCUGUGUCCUCCUGAUCCUGCGUUACUGUGUUCUCCUGGUCCUUCAUUGCUGUGUCCUCCGAUCCAGUGCUCUGAUUCCGUGGCCUCUGACUCACUACCAGCGAUCCUGUCCCUGCAGCCUUGCUGAUUUAUUCGUUCUUGUUGUCACUACAUUAGUCUUGUGACUUUGGAUCUGUGCCCUACCUGAUACCCGUGUUAGCUGCACAAUCCUACCCUAAUA